rnacentral:lncRNA from 1 species
CUUUCUGUCUGCUGGAGAUAGGAGCGGAGGGGCUCCACCCCGUUCCACUGUCUAGGCACGAGGAAGUUGAGGGGGAGGUCUUCCCCUCUCCAGAAGGCUGAAAGCCGAUUCCUCUUCUUUCCCUGGAGUGGCUUCUGAACACACAUAGAAGAUGGAUACACACCAAAGAUGUCUUUUAGGAUUGACACUAAACCUACGAGGUGGGGAAAUGU